rnacentral:rRNA from 1 species
CCUACGGGAGACAGCAGUGAGGAAUAUUGGUCAAUGGACGAGAGUCUGAACCAGCCAAGUAGCGUGAAGGAUGACUGCCCUAUGGGUUGUAAACUUCUUUUAUAUGGGAAUAAAACGUUCCACGUGUGGGAUUUUGUAUGUACCAUAUGAAUAAGGGUCGGCUAACUCCGUGCCAGCAGCCGCGGUAAUACGGAGGGUCCGAGCGUUAUCCGGAUUUAUUGGGUUUAAAGGGAGCGUAGGUGGAUGGUUAAGUCAGUUGUGAAAGUUUGCGGCUCAACCGUAAAAUUGCAGUUGAAACUGGCAGUCUUGAGUACAGUAGAGGUGGGCAGAAUUCGUGGUGUAGCGGUGAAAUGCUUAGAUAUCACGAAGAACUCCGAUUGCGAAGGCAGUUCACUGGACUGCAACUGACACUGAGGCUCGAAAGUGUGGGUAUCAAACAGGAUUAGAUACCCCUGUAGUC